GCUUACCUUAUAAAACCCCGAUUCGUUUCGUUCCUCUUCGAACAUUAAUCGCGUAUCAUAAACACAAACACGCAAUCAUAAACCGCCAACGAACUUCUAUCACGCUACUCUCUCUCUCUCUCUCUCUCUCUCAUUCGAUCGAAUUGGAUUUUAGGGUUUCGCACUGAAUGUGAUGGACGAUGGAGUCUCUGCAACAGAGAGUGGAGACAUGGAUCAAAGACCAAAGCACGAAGAUCUUGAAGGUCACUUGGCCUCCUCAAUGGCGUAUGGUGGUGAAGUGGCCGUGGACAAACGGAAGGCAACAGAGGAAGCGAAUUCAUGAGGAGUAUGAGAGAAGGAAGAAGCAGCUUCACGAUCUUUGUUGCGCAGUCAAGGCUGAGUCUGUCUCUGAUUUGCAAGACAUUCUCUGUUGCAUGGUGCUCUCUGAAUGUGUUUACAAGAGACCUGCUGCUGAGAUGCUUAGAGCAGUGAACAAAUUUAAGGCAGACUUUGGGGGACAAGUUGUUUCUAUAGAGCGGGUUCAGCCUUCUUCAGAUCAUGUUCCUCACAGGUAUCUAUUAGCAGAAGCAGGGGACACAUUAUUUGCUUCCUUCAUUGGGACCAAGCAGUACAAGGACGUCAUGGCUGAUGCAAACAUACUUCAAGGUGCUAUAUUUCAUGAGGAUGCUGUAGAAGAUAAUUAUGAGACUGCAACUACUGAAUCUGCUCAAGUCGAUAGUCAAAAGAUAAAUGUAGCAAAUCUUUCAAAAUCUCUUGAAGCAAAGCCUAAGCAACCAAAACCUACACCUAAACCUGCUGUCCAUCGAGGAUUCAUGGCUCGUGCUAAAGGGAUACCAGCAUUGGAGUUGUACAGGCUUGCUCAAAAAAAGAAACGGAAACUUGUGCUAUGUGGGCAUUCACUUGGUGGAGCAGUAGCAGUCUUGGCUACCCUUGCCAUUUUGAGGGUUAUUGCUGCUUCCUCGUCAUCAAAAGACAAUGAAAAAGUUCAAGUCAAGUGUAUCACAUUCUCUCAGCCUCCAGUUGGGAAUGCUGCUUUAAGAGAUUAUGUUAACGGAAAAGGUUGGCAUCAUUAUUUUAAGACUUACUGUAUUCCAGAAGAUCUAGUGCCUCGUAUCCUGUCUCCUGCUUAUUUUCAUCAUUAUAAUGCCCAAACGCUGCCAAUCCCUGUUGAUACCAAGACUAGCGAUUCGUUGAUGUCAAAACGUGAGGAAGGUGUGAAGAAGCAAAAAGCAGAAAAACUAAAAGAGAUAGAAGGGGAGCAGCUGGUUCUCGGUUUAGGCCCUGUCCAGACUUCCUUUUGGAGACUUUCAAGGCUUGUCCCUUUAGAGGGUGUCAAAAGACAAUUCAACAAAUACAAAGGGAAACAAGUUGACCCUGUUGAGACAUCUUCUGCUUCUGAUUCUGCUGUAACAUCUUCAUUUGAUGACGAAGCAGCUGCACCACUGUCUCUUGAAAUUCAGGAAGGUUCUGAUGGCAUUUCUCUCAAACCAUUUCCUGAGACAGAAACCAGGCCCCAAGGUGAAGCAAGAGAUGCAAAGUUGUCUGGAAAAAUGAACACCAGUGACACGGAUAAUAAUAGGGCAUGGCGUAGAGUGCCUUAUUUACCUUCUUAUGUACCGUUUGGUCAGCUCUAUCUUUUGGGGAAUUCAUCAGUGGAGUCACUAUCGGGUGCAGAGUACUCAAAGUUGACAUCGGUCAGAUCCGUGAUUGCUGAAGUAAGGGAACGAUUUCAGUCACACUCAAUGAAGUCAUACAGGUUUAGAUUUCAAAGAAUAUAUGAGCUGUGCAUGACUGACGAUGCUUCAUUCUUGGGAGUCGAGCAACUGCAGCAAUUUCCUCAUUUACAAAAGUGGCUAGGCCUUUCGGUCGCUGGUACUGUUGAUUUUGGGCAUAUAGUAGAGUCUCCAGUUAUUCGUGCAGCCACUUCUGUUGUUCCUCUGGGAUGGAGUGGUAUUCCUGGUGAGAAGAAUGAGGAACCUCUGAAAGUAGAUAUUACUGGUUUUGGAUUACAUCUUUGUACGCUGGUUCAGGCUCGUGUUAAUGGUAGCUGGUGCUCAACCACAGUUGAGUCCUUUCCUUCAUCACCAUCACACUCUUCGGAUGGUGGAGUACAGCCAGAUAUACAAAAUAUCCGAGUGUUGGUUGGACCUCCGCUGAGACGGCAACCAAAACAUCAGAUGGCAGAUUCGUUACUUCCUCUAUUUUCUUCUAUUGAUUCGAAGUCUGUUGAUCUGAAAGUGGAACGCAAUGUCUGUGCAUUUCAUGAGGGAAAAUUUAUCCGUCCUGAAGGUUUGAGUGAUUUUGUUGUAUUUUGUACAAGCGAUUUCUCUACAGUUUCCAAGGAGGUUCAUGUCAGGACCCGUAGGGUGCGAUUGGUUGGCCUAGAGGGUGCUGGUAAAACGUCUCUUCUUAAGGCAAUCUUGGAUCAAAGCAGACAUGCUAAUAUUGAAAAUUUGCAUAUGGAUAUUGAUGUUCAAGAAGGUAUUGCUGGUGGUUUGUGCUACUCAGAUUCAACGGGAGUAAAUUUGCAGGACCUGAAUAUGGAGGCCUCUCGUUUCAGGGAUGAACUUUGGAAGGGAAUCUGUGAUCUUAGUAGGAAAACAGACUUGAUUGUUCUUGUGCAUAAUCUGUCCCACAUAAUACCUCGAUACAAUCAGUCAAAUGCUUCUCAGCAGCAGCCAGCCCUCUCACUUUUGCUGGAUGAAGCUAAGGCCCUUGGAAUCCCUUGGGUCCUUGCAAUAACAAACAAAUUCUCAGUCAGUGCCCACCAGCAAAAGGCAGUGAUAGAUGCUGUUCUGCAGGCAUAUCAAGCAUCUCCAAGCACAACUGGGGUCGUCAAUUCCUGUCCAUAUGUCAUGCCCAGUGCUGCAAGUGCUCCUCAGUCUUGGGGUGCAGGAGAUAGAAAUUCUGGUAGGAUGGGUCCUCAACAGCUUAUUCUUGUUCCUAUUAAUCUUGUCUGGAGGCCUUUCCAGAAGAAAGCUGUCGUUCUCCCUGUAGAGGGUGUAACUGCUUUGUGCCAGCUUGUCCACCGUGUGCUUCGUAGCCAUGAGGAGGCUGCUUUACAGGAACUUGCACAAGAUACACUUAUGUUGGAAUUGGCACGAGAUCGUGCAGUGGCUGCAACUCAAGAUUCUCAGGCCAAGGCAUCCUCUUUGACUAAUGCAGCUGUGGGUGCUUCUCUUGGAGCCGGUCUUGGUAUCAUCCUAGCUGUUGUCAUGGGCGCAGCAUCUGCCCUAAGGAAACCAUGAUAUCCAAAACAGUUUUGGUCCUUUGUCGUCCAAUGGCAUAUCCGCCAGAUGUAUAAUGAGUCAGCUAAAAAGGUUCAGUUCUCUGCUAGCAUGGAGAAUUUAAUUAUGAAGUUAAAGCCACACCUAGAGUAGGUGAGUUUCAGAAAACAUCAAAUGUAAUUAUUAUUCGUGGCUAAAAUUUAUAUUUCUUUAUUGCAUGAAAAAUUAUUAAAUAUUCUCGAAAUAGCUCAGGCUAAUCAUGUGCAUUGUUUACAUUGUUA